rnacentral:rRNA from 1 species
CCCUUAGAUGUUCUGGGCUGCACGCGUGCUACACUGAUAUUGCCAAUAUGUCAUUCUUAUCCGAAAUGGAUUGGGUAAUCAAGUAAUGAAAUUUCAUGCUUGGAAUCGGUAAUUGCAAUUUUAUCGUGAACGAGGAAUUCCUAGUAAGCACUAGUCAUCAGCUAAUGUUGAUUAUGUCCCUGCCCUUUGUACACACCGCCCGUCGCUACUACCGAUUGAAUGGUUUAGUGAGAAUUUUGGACUGGAACUCCCUUGCUCAGCAAUGGGCGAGGGGGAGUCCGGGAAGCUAUUCGAACUGUAUCAUUUAGAGGAAGUAAAAGUCGUAACA